rnacentral:lncRNA from 1 species
UCAAUAAAUUGGUAUGACAUUUUUCAGUCUCCUCUGAAUUUCAUCCCAAAGAUGUUCAAUUGGGUUUAAAUCAGGACUAAGGGCUGGCCACAGCAUAAUGUUGACACCGUCCUGUGUAGCUCUGGCGAUAUCAGGCCCUCUUAUCUAUGUGACGAAAAAGCGUUGAAUGUUAUCAUAAUGAUGGCGUAUUGGUAGCAUAGCGUCUGUAUUGCAAUCUAAUGCAGUUUAUAUACGAACAAGAAGAGGUACUAUCGGAUUUGACAGCGGCCGUUAGCGGGAUAUGUGCACAGCUGCUAUGCGAAACUUGGUAGAAUGCAGCGACUUCGGCUGUAUCCGUCAAAAAACGAUCAUAGUCGAGUGACAACACCAUUUCCGGAAAAACAUUGUACGACAAAAUGGCGGACAAAACCAAACAAGUGACAUGUUUUACAGGUUCAAGAAAUUCCUUCUGUCUCUGGCUGACUUGUCAACCUGAUGCUGACAUGUUCAUGUAUGCCAUUUGCAAGUGUCAGACCUACAACAACAAGGGGCUCUAAUUAGUCAGCCAUGCGAAAAAACUGUCUUGUCUUGCAACUAUGCCAGGUGCCAGGAAUGGAGUCCCCAGCUGUGUGGAGCUUGAGGUCAAUACAUCCAAAAUUUGUGGGGAGAGCAUUGUAAGACAAGAUUCAACCAGGACCACUUGAUGCCCCCAGUAGACUACAUCAUGCGAGGAAACCGGUGCAGGGUAUGUCAAGUCUCCAUGAACCUGGAGCUACCACAGGAAAGCAAGAUAAAUCGACUAAUAAAAGCUGGACUUUCUGUUGCCCACUGCGAUGAACAUAUGUCCAAGUGCUGAAUCAGUUAUGAUUUUACAUAUGCACUUUCAUAAUGUGUAAAUAUGAGAAUUGUAAAGUUGGAGCUGCUUUGGAUGAUGUGAUGUAGUGUGAUAAUCAUUAGACAAAGAAAGUCAUAUUCGGAUUUGUUAAUGAAUAAAACACUUGAACUUCAUAUAUGGCUGUAAAUAUAUCUUUAUUACAAGUUAAUAUGGUUGAUAAAAACAAAAUUGAAAUACA